ensembl:miRNA MIR6855 microRNA 6855
GCUGCUUGGGGUUUGGGGUGCAGACAUUGCCAGAGGAUGGGCAGCAGACUGACCUUCAACCCCACAG